rnacentral:lncRNA from 1 species
CUACUUGAAGAAGAUGAGCACCAAGAGGCCAGACAAAAUUGGCCCUUUUAAAGUCUUUGCUCCAUUCUCGUUACACGACAACGAGCAAAGAGGGGCAGCUGUAAUAGGCCCGAUUCACCCGGCCUAUUAAAAAUAAACCAAACAAAAAAAAUACCAAAUAAAACAAACCCAAUAAAAAGUCCAAGAAUCAAACAGUCCAUUUACAAACUAAAAAACCCAAGACCCUAGCCCAAUACAAGCCCAAACCCAUUACAUUUAAAAAAAAAACCUAGCUAAGCAGCUUUCAGCCGUCGCACCUCCAGCCACCUCCCCACGUGCGCCUCCG